rnacentral:lncRNA from 1 species
AGUGUUCCAUAAUGGUUAGUUGAUAUCAUACGCGGAAUCUAAACAUCAUCAUAAAAAAAAUGUGCACGAGCUACCAUUAACCACUAGUAUUAGUACGACAUUAUUUGAACCAGCCGCAUUAGCAAGCAGGGGAUUAGUUUAGUAAUAGUAUAGUAAUACGCCACCUAAUAGCCUGCAAAAUCACAGACUGGCACCGGCGGUUUCUUGACGCGAUCGCGGCGUGUAUAUAAACAGCAGAGGCUGACGAGGCUAAUUCCAAGCUGUAGACUCCAUUCCCCACCUUCUUCCUCCUCCAGUCAUCGUUCAGUCCACAGACUGCCAAUCGAGCAGCAAGCUUGCCGGCGGUCGCCAUGAAUCGCAGGGUCGUCGCUUGGCUGCUCCUCGUCGUCCUCUUCCUCGCGUGUUCUUGCGCUGCCCCCGCCUGCGCUUCGCGCCCUCUCGGUACGUCCGGUUCGAGCGUCGAUUAUUAGCCUGACGAAUGAAUAAUUCUUGCUCGAAAUAUCAUUCUGAGAUCGACGCGCGCGGCGACCUAACUAGCUGAUCAAUGCAGCUGCUGCGGCGGCCGGGGACGCGAGCGCGAGGAGGGUACCUGCAGCUGCCGCCGGCUUCGCGACGGUGAGCCGCCGCGUGGUUCCCCGCAGCAGGACGCCGCCUGUUCACAACAGGCGGCUGUUGGGGUCGAGGACGACGUGGCUGCCGCCGCCGCCGCUGCCCAACAAGAUGAGGGCCACGGCGAUGCCCACGCCCCCGCCGCCGGUCAUCUGACGACCUGUCUACUGCUGUGUUCCUCUCGUGCGCCUUAGCAUUCCCUGGGCGUGCCUGCUCUGCAGCGGCGCGCGGCGUGUUCCUAUGUAACGGUCGCUACGUGAUAACGCUACUAGCGUUACUAUUUAUUUUAUUGAGUUGUAUGCAUGUGUGGCAAAUUGAUUUUAAAAGUCUAUGCAAAUGAAAAAGGAUGGUCAGUUCACUUACACUUAACGCUUCCCCUCACGUUGCUCCAAGUCCUACAUUUGAUUUGGACGUUUGUG